rnacentral:rRNA from 1 species
CGCCGCGUGAGUGAUGAAGGUUUUCGGAUCGUAAAGCUCUGUUGCCAAGGAAGAACGUCUUCUAGAGUAACUGCUAGGAGAGUGACGGUACUUGAGAAGAAAGCCCCGGCUAACUACGUGCCAGCAGCCGCGGUAAUACGUAGGGGGCAAGCGUUGUCCGGAAUUAUUGGGCGUAAAGCGCGCGCAGGCGGUUCUUUAAGUCUGGUGUUUAAACCCGAGGCUCAACUUCGGGUCGCACUGGAAACUGGGGGACUUGAGUGCAGAAGAGGAGAGUGGAAUUCCACGUGUAGCGGUGAAAUGCGUAGAUAUGUGGAGGAACACCAGUGGCGAAGGCGACUCUCUGGGCUGUAACUGACGCUGA